UACAGAGGGUGCGAGCGUUAAUCGGAAUUACUGGGCGUAAAGGGUGUGUAGGUGGUUGUAUAAGUUAGAUGUGAAAGCCCCGGGCUCAACCUGGGAACAGCGUUUAAGACUGUACGACUAGAGUAUUGUAGAGGAUAGUGGAAUUUCCAGUGUAGCGGUGAAAUGCGUAGAUAUUGGAAGGAACACCAGUGGCGAAGGCGACUAUCUGGACAAAUACUGACACUGAGACACGAAAGCGUGGGGAGCAAACAGG
rnacentral:rRNA from 1 species